CAAGCCUGUCCCCGACGAGGGCCACCACUGCCUCUCUCCACUUCUACCUGGUCCAGAGCAUGUCCCCAGAUCAGCUCCCGGGACUCCUGCUGUCACCCCAAGAACUCACACACGCUGGGGUGAGUGCAAAGGGCUCAGCACCUCAGAGAACCGUUUGGAAGUGUCCCCUAAAGCCAAACAUAUGCCUCGCCGGGACCCGCAGUCCCACUCUUAGUUCAUGCUCAGAAGCAGGCGCACAUGUCUCCAAAUAUAGGAUCGAGCAACCUCACAUGGGACAGGUCAUUCAGUCACAUCGAUAUACGUCGGGUUGGAGCUUUACUGUUUAUAACACACACCCCUCCUCCUACAGUUUGCAUCAAAAUACCUUGCCCUGCAAAACUUGGGUCCCAAUCAAUAAAACUAAUGUCCGGUUCCGGAGAAAUCUAUGGCUGCUAAUUAAAAUCACCUUCAUUGAAACAAACUAUAAAGGAUUUACCUCUUGACUCUGCUAGUCAUUGC